CUUGAGCAGUGAGUAUGGUUCUCCUGCAGCUCCCUUCUGACACAUGAUUACGGUUGGUGAUUAUCUUUUCCUGUUGUGCCUCCUUACAGACUGAGUGUCUGACACAUGUACAGAGCCCACAAGCUGCCAUGAGCUAUUUCUACAUGUAACUAGGUGACUACGCCUUGCAGCUUCCCCUACGUUAUAGGCUUUUUAACUUCAUUAUGUGAUCAGGCAUGUUGCCAACUUUGAAGGCCAUUCCACACAUCUGAGUGAUCUGGCUUGCCGUCCAGGUGAUUUAAGUGCCAAUCUUGAUAAAGGUCCGCAUAAGGACCGAAACGUCGAUGAAAUACGGCAUCAACAGUGAACCCGAAUAAAAAUAUACUGAAUUUACAAGUGACUUCAGAGACUAAUUUCUGGGCGUGAGUGCACCUUCCACCUAGGUGGUUGUUGUGGUAUAUUGGUGGCCUCUCAGGUCAUUAGGAGCACCCGCCGUCGUUAUUACUUUUGAUGAGAGUGCAGGAUCUUC